CUGCGCCACGAGUGGUGAUCGCGUUUAUUGGGCCUAAAGCGUCCGUAGCCGGAUUGAUAACUCUUUUGUGAAAUUGUCAGGCUUAACCUGACAGCGUGCAGAAGAAACUGUCAAUCUUGGGACCGGAGAGAAGUCAGAAGUAUGCCUGGGGGAGCGGUAAAAUGCUAUAAUCCUAGGUAGACUACCUGUGGCGAAGGCGUCUGACUAGAACGGAUCUGACGGUGAGGGACGAAAGCUAGGGGAGCAAUCCGGAUUAGAUACCCGAGUAGUCC
rnacentral:rRNA from 1 species